UCGAAUGGGGGCACCCUGACCGCAAUGCCGCGUGAGUGAAGAAGGCCUUCGGGUUGUAAAGCUCUUUUGUCAGGGAAGAAACACCGGCUCUAACACAGUCCGGGAAUGACGGUACCUGAAGAAUAAGCACCGGCUAACUACGUGCCAGCAGCCGCGGUAAUACGUAGGGUGCGAGCGUUAAUCGGAAUUACUGGGCGUAAAGCGUGCGCAGGCGGUUAUACAAGACAGGCGUGAAAUCCCCGGGCUUAACCUGGGAAUGGCGCCUGUGACUGUAUAGCUAGAGUGUGUCAGAGGGGGGUAGAAUUCCACGUGUAGCAGUGAAAUGCGUAGAUAUGUGGAGGAAUACCAAUGGCGAAGGCAGCCCCCUGGGAUAACACUGACGCUCAUGCACGAAA
rnacentral:rRNA from 1 species